CAUUAAGUGGCUGAAAGAAAGUAAUGGUCUCUUAAACCAAGAAAUGGUAAUUAACGCCUACCCUUAAUGG
rnacentral:tRNA from 1 species